UACGAAGGGGGCUAGCGUUGUUCGGAAUUACUGGGCGUAAAGCGCGUGUAGGCGGGUCUUUAAGUCAGGGGUGAAAUGCCAAGGCUCAACCUUGGAACUGCCUUUGAUACUGGAGAUCUUGAGUCCGGGAGAGGUGAGUGGAACUGCGAGUGUAGAGGUGAAAUUCGUAGAUAUUCGCAAGAACACCAGUGGCGAAGGGCGGCUCACUGGCCCG
rnacentral:rRNA from 1 species